rnacentral:rRNA from 1 species
AGCUUGCUCUUCUUGGAUGAGUUGCGAACGGGUGAGUAACGCGUAGGUAACCUGCCUUGUAGCGGGGGAUAACUAUUGGAAACGAUAGCUAAUACCGCAUAACAAUGGAUGACACAUGUCAUUUAUUUGAAAGGGGCAAUUGCUCCACUACAAGAUGGACCUGCGUUGUAUUAGCUAGUAGGUGAGGUAACGGCUCACCUAGGCGACGAUACAUAGCCGACCUGAGAGGGUGAUCGGCCACACUGGGACUGAGACACGGCCCAGACUCCUACGGGAGGCAGCAGUAGGGAAUCUUCGGCAAUGGGGGCAACCCUGACCGAGCAACGCCGCGUGAGUGAAGAAGGUUUUCGGAUCGUAAAGCUCUGUUGUAAGUCAAGAACGAGUGUGAGAGUGGAAAGUUCACACUGUGACGGUAGCUUACCAGAAAGGGACGGCUAACUACGUGCCAGCAGCCGCGGUAAUACGUAGGUCCCGAGCGUUGUCCGGAUUUAUUGGGCGUAAAGCGAGCGCAGGCGGUUUGAUAAGUCUGAAGUUAAAGGCUGUGGCUCAACCAUAGUUCGCUUUGGAAACUGUCAAACUUGAGUGCAGAAGGGGAGAGUGGAAUUCCAUGUGUAGCGGUGAAAUGCGUAGAUAUAUGGAGGAACACCGGUGGCGAAAGCGGCUCUCUGGUCUGUAACUGACGCUGAGGCU